rnacentral:rRNA from 1 species
UGUGUAGACGGCAAAGUAAGUCAAUUAUUAAAUCUCCUGGCUUAACCAGGAGUCUGUAGUUGAAACUGUUUUGCUAGAGGAUGGAAGAGAGAAGUGGAAUUCUCGGAGUAGCGGUAAAAUGCGUAGAUCUCGAGAGGAACACCGAUGGCGAAGGCAGCUUCUUGGUCCAUUUCUGACGUUGAGGCACGAAAGCGUGGGGGGCAAACA